rnacentral:rRNA from 1 species
UACGGAGGGUGCAAGCGUUAAUCGGAAUUACUGGGCGUAAAGCGUGCGCAGGCGGUUUGUUAAGUCUGUUGUGAAAUCCCCGAGCUCAACUUGGGAAUUGCAAUGGAUACUGGCAGGCUGGAGUAUGGUAGAGGAAGGUGGAAUUCCCGGUGUAGCAGUGAAAUGCGUAGAGAUUGGAAAGAACACCGAUGGCGAAGGCACUUUACUGGGCUAUUACUAACACUCAGAGACGAAAGCUAGGGUAGCAAAUGGG